UACGGAGGGUGCAAGCGUUAUCCGGAAUCAUUGGGUUUAAAGGGUCCGCAGGCGGAUUUAUAAGUCAGUGGUGAAAUCCUGCAGCUCAACUGCAGAACUGCCAUUGAUACUGUAAGUCUUGAAUUUGAUCGGAGUGGGCGGAAUGUGUAGUGUAGCGGUGAAAUGCAUAGAUAUUACACAGAACACCGAUAGCGAAGGCAGCUCACUAGGUUAUAAUUGACGCUCAUGGACGAAAGCGUGGGGAUCAAACUGGAUUAGAUACCCUGGUAGUCCACGCCGUAAACGAUGAUUACGCGUUCUUGAUAGCAAUAUCAGGGACCAAGCGAAAGUGAUAAGUAAUCCACCUGGGGAGUACGAUCGCAAGGUUGAA
rnacentral:rRNA from 1 species